rnacentral:rRNA from 1 species
GACAAACGCUGGCGGCGUACCUAAGACAUGCAAGUCGAACGGGUACGGACCCUUCGGGGUGGCGUGCUAGUGGCGGACGGGUGAGUAACGCGUAGGAACCUAUCGCACAGUGGGGGAUACCACGGGAACCGGUGUUAAUACCGCAUGUGGUCAGCAAUGACGAAAGCAGCAAUGCGCUGUGUGCGGGGCCUGCGUCCGAUUAGCUCGUUGGUGGGGUAAGGGCCUACCAAGGCGACGAUCGGAGCUGGUCUGAGAGGAUGGUCAGCCACGCUGGGACUGAGACACGGCCCA